rnacentral:rRNA from 1 species
GACGAACGCUGGCGGCGUGCUUAACACAUGCAAGUCGAACGGAAAGGCCCCUUUGGGGGUACUCGAGUGGCGAACGGGUGAGUAACACGUGAGUAACCUGCCCUUGACUUCGGGAUAACUUCAGGCAACUGGGGCUAAUACCGGAUAGGAAUCCUUGCUGCAUGGUGGGGGUUGGAAAGCUUCGGCGGUUGUGGAUGGACUCGCGGCUUAUCAGCUUGUUGGUGGGGUAGUGGCUUACCAAGGCUUUGACGGGUAGCCGGCCUGAGAGGGCGACCGGCCACAUUGGGACUGAGAUACGGCCCAGACUCCUACGGGAGGCAGCAGUGGGGAAUAUUGCACAAUGGGCGGAAGCCUGAUGCAGCAACGCCGCGUGCGGGAUGACGGCCUUCGGGUUGUAAACCGCUUUCAGCAGGGGCGAAGCUUGUGGUGACGGUACCUGCAGAAGAAGCACCGGCUAACUACGUG